rnacentral:tRNA from 1 species
AGUAGAAUGGCUGAGAAUUAGGUGAUAGAUUGUAAAUCUAUAAAGGAGUUUUAACUCUUCUACUA